rnacentral:lncRNA from 1 species
GACAUACUACAUACAGUACAAUAGAUUCCACAAGUAAAACACAGUUAAUCUGAAUUAGUGCACAUGCCUUUAUUUGAGUAUCUAGUAUUAAAAUAGCUUUCUUGACAUCUAACUGUAGCACUGAGAAGAUAAUGUAGAAUAGAGAGAUCAAGGUGAGGCCUAGAGUAUUUGUAAUGUUAUAUAAAUAUUCGGGUGAGACAGCAAAAAAACUGUUGACGUUCCAGCAUUCAUCAGUCGAUUGACUCGUAUUAGCUGGAAACGAUGUUUUGAAGUAAAAAAUGGUGUUCUGGAUUUGUUUAUAACAAACAGCUUCUCACUUCACAAUACAUUAGUCGAUGAACUGGAGUCGUGUGGAUUACUUGUGAAUUAUUGUGAUGUUUUUAUCAGCUGUUUGGACUCUCGUUCUGUCGGUACCCAUUCACUGCAGACGAUCCAUUGGUGAGCAAGUGAUAAAAUGCUACAUUUUUCCAAAUCUGUGAACUCCUCUGCAACUUUGAUGUUCCAAGGCCCACACAUGCUUAUUGGAUUGGCGGAGCCAUGCACAUGGACAGAUGAGAGCCGAGAGGAUGAUAGGAAGUGUGGGGGAUUAGUAUGUGGAUGUCCUGUGAGCUCAAAUGAGGCCAGUUUAGAUCUGAAGCACCAAUCCCUACUGCACUGGGACGUUUCGGUGGAGGAAAACCGAAAUGCAAAUGGGCAGCUGCCGGGUACUAUAUGCAGCAACGUGUCCCGUUACUUGCUACUGUAGUUAUUGCACCUGAGGAUCUGAGAGCCCUUGUCAGGUCUGGUGCAGAUGGUGGGAGGACCUCUGGCCAGCUGGCUCUGUGAAUGAGUGGGAGCGUUUGGCCAUUUAUUUCUUCAGCCAUCAAGCAAAUGACUGAGAGGAAACUGCAAUUUUGCAGUUACAAAACAUUGUACCCCUUCUCAAACCAGGUACGUUUUUGUGUUGAGCAAAUCUAAAAGCUUCAGCCUAGUGUGAGCAAACAAUGCUAUUAGCACAAAGACAUAUUUUCAAGAUAUUACUCAAAAUAUUUUGAAGAUAAGAUAAAGCUGUUGCUCUAGAAUAUAGACUGAAUAAAUCUGAAAAGAAUAAAAGGUGUGUAUGGUGUUGCAUUUACAAUAUUAGAAUAUUUUGCCGCUAUCUAAAUCCUCACCUUCCUGUUUUCUGGCAAACAGGCGGCCAGUGCUCUGUCAGAUUGUUUAUCACUAUCUGCUUUUUCUCAGUUCAUGCUCAAGUGUAGAGUCUGUUUCAUUUUGGCCUCACUAAACCACUGCAGUCUUGUCCAAACAAACACCAAACGCUCUUCUGCUCAAUUCAUGUUGUUCUUUUAAUCCGGUUCUUACUGUAUAUGGUGCUCUGGGUUCCAGCACAGUGAUCUCACAUCAUCCCUUCAGCAGUUUUACAGUUUAAGACCCCAGCUCUACAGUAACUUGGCAACUCUUUUCUGAGACUG